UCCGCGGUAGUCUAAUGGCAGGACACAGGUUUUUGGUACCUGGCAUCUAGGUUCGAUCCCUAGCCGCGGAA
rnacentral:tRNA from 3 species